UACGUAGGGGGCAAGCGUUGUCCGGAUUUAUUGGGCGUAAAGGGCGUGUAGGCGGCCAGGUAGGUCGGUUGUGAAAACUGGAGGCUUAACCUCCAGACGUCGACCGAAACCAUCUGGCUAGAGUCCGGAAGAGGAGAGUGGAAUUCCUGGUGUAGCGGUGAAAUGCGCAGAUAUCAGAACGAACACCCGUGGCUAAGGCGGCUCUCUAGUACGGUACUGACGCUGAGACGCGAAAGCGUGGGGAGCGAACGGG
rnacentral:rRNA from 1 species